GUUUAUCCGGCAUCAUACUCCCGUCCAGUAGGUGGCGAUGAUGCGCCUAUACAUUGUUUGCUAACCGCCAUUCAAAGAACCAACGAAGAAGACGAACACGUUGUGUGUGAUUUCGAAUUCUGGUGGAGGCAAAUCUCAGAAAAUUACGACCACAAACUUUCUCAACAAUUGUGCCCAGACUUUUUCAGAUUGUACUCGACUACUUUUAUCUUCAGAUGACCAGGAUUCCAUACAGACUGUUCUUGCCAGGUUAGAGAUAAUGGCGACGAGCGUUCGCUGGAGCAGAGUGCAGACUGCAUCAAUCUGGAGUGGUGGAUGAGAUGCUUUUGCUCAUGAGCGAGUUAGUUCAGGAAGCCAACAACAACAACAACCUGUUGCUUCUGGUUUCACCGUACCUCGAAUGGGAGGACAGACUGGAGGAAGGCCGGUUUACCAAAUCGCCCAAGAGCAGUUGCAGAUGUUGUUGUCCUUUAACUUCUCUGCUAAACAAAUUGCGGAGAUCGUGGGUGUCUCAAGAAGAACAGUGAACCGACGGUUAAGACAGCACAAUUUCAUCUUUUACAGACCAGAUGAUGCACUUGAUCUGAAGGUGCUGCUAUUCGGAGUAUGUCCCACAGGCUUCGGAGGAGAACACAUCGAGUGGCAGGGUCAAAUUCGCUGUGGCAUCUUGAUCGCAACCACAAGCUCUUAAAGCGGAGGAUUGUAAUCCAUGGAGGAAUCGAUGGGUUCAGCCGACUGGUGGUUUUCCUGAAGGCUUCUAACAACAACAGAAGUGACAUUGUAAUAGUCCUACGUAGUGUGGUCAGGUCUGCUGAGUUUAUCAUCGACAGGAAGCUCCCAGCCCUACAGGACACCUACCACACACGAUGCCUCAGGAAAGCUGGCAAGAAUCUAAAAGACUGCUACCACCCAUCUUUCAGUCUCUACCCCGCUGCCUUCUGGACAGCUGGCAGGAUUCUAAAAGACUGCUACCACCCAUCUUUCAGUAUCUACCCCGCUGCCUUCUGGACAGCUGGCAGGA